ensembl:lncRNA
GGUACACUUUAUUUAUUUAUUUGUUUUUUAAAUAACUUUUUAUUGACAGAGCCCAUGCCAGGGUAAUUUUUUACAACAUUAUCCCUUGUACUCACUUCUGUUCCAAUUUUUCCCCUCCUUCCUUCUACCCCCUCCCCCAGAUGGCAAGCAGUCCUAUACACAAACAUUCACUUUUUUAAAUUUCUUCUUUCUACCAACCCUUGUCUUACUCAUUGAAAAGGCAGGAAAUAUGAUAUCAAUCCUACAUGUGAAAUCAUGCAAAAUAUAUUUCCAUAUGAGCCAUACACAACACUGUGCUAAGUCCUAGAGAUACAAAGAAAGGCAAAAAGCAGGACAAUUUUGUGGCUAUUCUGUUCAACUUAAUAUGUACUUUUAAAAAAAUGUACAUGGGGCAGUUAAGGGCCCUCCAGUAGAUAGAGCACUAGAUAGAGAAGGACCUGAGUUCAAAUUGACCAAGACACUUAACGCGUACUAGCUAUGUGACUCUGGUCAAGUCACUUGAACCCAAUUGACUCAUUAAAAAAAAAAAAAAGUAUACAUAACAGAUUCAUGGUUUUACAUAUCAUUCACUGGGUUGAAAUGCCUGUUUAUUCAUGAAGGUUAAGUUUGUAGUAAAAAGGAAAAAUUAAGGGAAACUGCUUUGUCUGUUCUAGCAAUCAGGAAGGAGGCAAGACAAGGAAAAUCCUAAGGGGAUUUGCACCUAGUCCAAGGGACAGAAAAGGAAGUGGGAGCUAAUCUACUUUCUCCGGGGGGCAUAGCUGGGUAUGCCCUUGGUCCAUUAUCCCACUGAUCCUCACAACAAUCCUGAGAGGUAGGUACCAUGGGAGGAUUAGCCUAACGUUCCAGGUGAGAAGAAAAGGGAUCUGUAACAAAAUAUGAGCUGGCUCAGAAAGCGUGGGAUUCUGUUCUGGGCACCACACGUGGAGACAUUGAUAAACUAGAGCACCUUUAAAGGAGGUUGGCAACUGCGCUUUUGGAGGGCUGGGAGUCCUUGCCAGAUGACGAUGGGUCAAAGGAACUGCAGGUGUUCAGCUGAAGAAGGCGAGAGUUCAGGGUGACAGUGGGUAUGAUCAACCAGUCAAUUAACAAACAUUAAAGUUUUUUACAACAACCAAAUGAAAUGAGCAUUUCCACAUAAUGUGACAGAAAAAAGAGGGGACUGUGGUUCUCUUUUACAUACAGCCUGCUUUUAAAAAAAAUACUAUAUGAUAAGUAUAUAAUAAACAUAAAUAAGCAUAGGUAACAAAUAAAUGUAGGCAUCUAGGUAGCACAGCAGAUAGAGCACUGGCCUUGGAGUCAGGGAGACUCAUUAUCAUGACUUCAAAUGUGGCUUCAGAUACUACCUAAGCAACCUGAGAUAGUCACUUAACUUUGUUUGCCUCAGUUUCCUCAUCUGUAAAAUGAGCUGUAGAAGGGAAUGGCAAACCACUCCAAAAUUUUUGUCAAGAAAACCCCAAAAUGGGGUCACAAAGAGUUGGACACAACUGAAAUGAGUGAAUAAUAAGCACAAAACAUAUAAAUAUAUAUUCCAAUGUAAACAAAUUCAACAUUUAGCUUUUAAAGCUCUCCUACUUGUCAGAUAUUCAUUCUAGGCAUUUUAAAAAGAGGGUUUAAUGGCAGUCUUUUCUUUCUUUCCUUUUUUCUUCUCUGUUUUCUCUCCCUAUUUUUUCUUUCUGCUUCUCUCCUCCCUCCACCUCUCUCCUUUCCUUCCUUCCUUCUCUCUUUCUCUCUCUCCAUCCCUUCUCCCUUUCUCUGUCUCUCUCUCCAUCCCUCCUUCCCUCCCCCUUUUCUCUUUCUGUCUCUGUCUCUCUCUCUCACAUACACUUUUACUUUCAAGCUUGGUAGAGACUACUAGAAUGGAUGUGGCUCUAGAGAACCAAGAGUCACCUUUGUAACACAAUCAAUAAUCAAUCAACAUUUAUUAAGUGACUACUAGGUGCUGUAUUGAGUUCUGGGGACACAAAAAGAGACAAAAGUCAGUUCCUAUCCUUAAAGAGCUUACAAUAGAAUGCAGAAGAGCUCACACAGUGAAUCCUGGGGUAGCUUCAGCCAAAAUAACCACAUAAGUGGUUGAUCUCCCUGGCAGGGAGAAUGGGGGGGGGGGGGGCAGACAAAACAUUUAACACUGAAACUGUCUCCUCUCUCUGUUAUAACUCCUAAGGAACCAAGUACUGUGUGUAAUCAUGCAAAGCUAAAGCACUCCUUAGCCAAGUUCUAUCACUUCACUGGAUCUCAGUUUCCUCACCUAUAAAACUGAGGAGCUCAGCUAGAGGGGCUCUAAAGUCCUUCUAGAUCAAAGUCUCCUCUGAUAAACCUGAAUCCUAUGAUGAUUAUGAAAUCCUAUGAUGGCUGCCCUCGGUCACAAGAGCAUUAUCUCAGAAACUUUGGGUCACUUCCUCUUUCUUUCUCCUUGGCAUACCCACAUCCAGAGAAAGAACUGUGGAGACUGAAUGCAGAUUGAAGCAUAGGGUGUUCCCUUCUUUUUUGUUUUUUCUUUCUUGUGAUUUUUCCCUUUUGUUCUGAUUUUUCUUUCACAACAUGGAAAUAUGUUUAACGUGAUUGUACAUGUAUAACCCAUAUCAGAUUGCUUGCUGUCUUGGGGAAGGGGGAAGGAAGGGAGGUAGCAAGAAAAAUCUGGAACUCCAAAUCUUACAAAAAUGAAAACUAUCUUUACAUGUGAGUGGAAAAAAUACUAUUAAGUGGAAAACAACAACAACAAAAAACAAUAAAAAACAAAUGACUUGGUGUCUCACCUGGCUACCACCUGCUAGUCCCAUUAUCAACAGUUGGUACAGCUGCAUCCAAGGCUGAAUAGGGCCUGUUUAUUUAUUCUUUCUAAUCAAAACAUUUUUCCCUUAGGUGUUCUUGUAACUCGGCUCAAUUUACCCACCACAUGCCCUUCCUACUUUACAUUAAAGCCCUUCUAUUUUCUAACUUAACCUGUGAUUUUCCCUGACCCUCCCAUUCUUGGAUUCUUAGAGCUGGGAGGGACCUUCAACAUCUUGUUUCGCCUUACAAAGGGAGAAACUGAGGCCCUGUGAGUAUUCCCUGAACUUCCAGCCUGGGAAAAAUAAGGAAACUCUGUCUUUAAAAAAAAAAAAUAAAAGUAAGCUCCCAGUCACUGGAGUUAUUAAGCAGAAGCUGAAUGGAUGGUGGAUAGAAAACGUCCUGAAUUUGGACUCAGAAUUUCAGUUUCUAGAUCUCUUUUCUGCUACUUCUUACCUCUGUGAUGUUGACCAAAUCACUAUAUCUUUCUGAACCCUACCUAGUGUCUCUUUCUACAAAAUUAAAGGGAUUGGAUUAGACAGCUUUCAAAGUCCAAAUCAUAGAGUAUGUUAGGAUAAGUGAUCAUGUCACUUAGCUAGUCUCUUCCUUACUACCUCUUCAAUAAAGGAGACCCCACUGUCUUUCAAGGGGAAGCUAGAAAGAUAGAAAGAUUUUUUUCUAAUGGGAGGUCAUGAUUUUGUGGAAAAGUCAAGACUGGAACCCAAACUCUCAGAACAGGGUCCUCUGCUCUGCACCAUGUUGCCAGCCUACAGUUCUUGCAACACUUUAUUAGGCUGGUAAGAAACAGGGUCAAUUGCCAGGAAACUGCUUUGAUAGCAGUCAAACUAGCAAGCAUUUAACAAAUAUUUGUUCCAUAAAUAUAUGUGCCAGGCACUGCACUACACAAUAUAGAGAACACAAGGAUGAAAUAGAGACAAGAAGUCUUAGGAACAACAGUACUGUCUCUUCCUAGCCCUCCAGCCUAGCCCCCCUAACCAUCUCUAAGGGGAAAUAAUCUUUGCAGGGAAAGGGUCUGUCACCACCUUUACCAAAGAGUGAAAACUAACUUCCAUCGGGAGGAAGGCAACCCCAUGACUCCCAGGCUAUUAUCCCUACAGCCAUCACCAAGGGAGCAAUGUCCCCCUUCAUCCCCACGACAACCACCAACUCUGGAUCAGUUACAGCCUUAUGUAUAUUAUAUCAUUUGAUCAUGGUACCUUUCUCUUUGUCUUUGGCAUUAAAGUAUAUGACUGACAUAUAGUGUAUCACUGGGUCAGAGGCUACAUACUAUUCAAGAUAACUGGAUCCAAAUUCACAGCUCAACCAUUAGCAUACUACUUUGCCUAUCAUCCCACAGCCCGUCCAACAUUCACCAUUUUUAUCUUCUGUUUUCUUUGCCAAUCUUAUCGGAUUCAGGUGAAAUCUUGCAAUUGUUUUACUUUUCAUUUUUCUUAUUACUUAUCAGGGGGAACAUUCUUUCAUAUGGCUGUUAAUAGUUUGAAUUUCUUCUUUUGAAAGAUUUCCAUUGUUUUGCUAUUCUACUACCAGACAGCAACUUGUAUAAAUCAUGAGUCACUAUUAGCUAAUAGACUGGCCUUAGAGUUGGUAAUGACUUAGAGGUGGGUUUACAGCUAAUCUCUGGAUUGCCUUCUCUACUCUUGAACAUUAUGUUAGUUUCUUUUUUUAAAAGUUUUAUUUUCAAAAUACAGGCAAAGAUAGUUUUCAACAUUCACCCUUGCAAAACCUUGUGUUCCACCCUCAAAAGGAGGUCAUGAAGAAUCAGACAUGACCUAAAUUACUCAAUAACAACAAUUUCUUGACUCUAAGACUGACUAUUUGUCUAAUAUACUGUCUCUUAAAAUAAAGAUUACCAUAAAAAAUUUAAAAAAACUUUGUGUUCCAUAUUUUUCUCUUUCCCUACUUUGUCCCUCCCUUAGUCAGCAAAUAAUCCAAUAUAGGUUAAACAUGUUGAACAUUAUAUCAUUACAGAGAGAUUAUAAUCAAAUAUAAAUCUUGAGGGUGGGGAAAAUUUAUUUUUAUCAUUGUAUCUCUAAUUCCUAGUACACAGUAGGUGCUUAAUAAAUGCUUGUUUAUUGGCCUGCUUUGGGAAAUGGUACUUCCAUAUAGGGAGUUCUUUACAUGAAUGGAAUCAUAGAUCUGAACAAUGCAUGGACCCAAAAAAGCCAAUCUGUAACAAAAAUCACUGAGAACUCCAAGCAUAAUUAAAUGCGUCCAAGAUUUUCCUCACAAUUAGGGAUUGACCCCCCCAGCCCUUUGAGAGCUAACUACUUUUAUACACUUGGAAGAGCACUAAAAAUAGAAAGAGGAAUUACAAUUCACUGAUUGGUCAAUUCCAGAAGUGGCAAAAUCUUAUAGAAGGCUAAAGGUAAUGUCCAUCAAUUAUAAUGACUUUGUCAACAGACCUUCCACAGAUCAUCGACUUCAAGUCAUCUUAGCAGGGGCUUUCCAAAAGUCCCUUUCAACUUUAUCUCAGGACUUUCCACAGGUCAUAAGACCCUAAUGUUUGACCAUCAAUAUCUUAAGGUCCAAAGAAAUUGGGUUGGAAGCAAAGGUCUCAAGGAAGUAGAUGGCAGUGAUUCAUAGGGAUGAGAGGUAUUAUUCCAGCAAAUGAACCUUAUUACAUUUCUAAUUAAUAUGAUGAAUUUAGCCAAUAUAUGUAAUAUAAUCAUUAAUACAUUGAUUAAUUAUUUAUAAUUCUUAUUGUAACAGCAUUAACAUACAUAACUAACUUUAACUUAAUCCUAUUCUGUUUAAUUCACUAAUACUGAUACCCAUCAAAUAAAAAUAAAUUGAAUAGGGAUUAAUUUGAGCAAGGGGAUCAAAAUUAUUAUCCCAAAUAACAAUGAAGUGCUCUAAUAAAUAUUAUAUUUUAUUAUUAUAACAGAUAAAGAAAUUAAGCCCAUAUUGGGAGAUAAACUCAUUGAAGGUCAGACAAGUUGUGCAUCUGAACUUGAACUGGCUCCAAAUUCGACAUUGUUUAUACCACACCUUCCCUCCAUCCUAUGGCUGGCUAUCCCUGGAGACAAAGAGCUCAUUUCUUGCCUCAUCAUUUUGCCCUCUUAUUUGCCUUGAUUGCCAUGACCUAUUUUGAUCCUAUUCAAGUUGUGGAGUUUCCCCAGUUUACCAAAGAAGCGGUUUUUUUCAAAAUCCAUAAGACCCUUCCUCUACAAAAGACUGGUCUUCCAUCUGUUAAAGAAAGCCCCUUUUCCAACCCUUUAAUACCUGUAACUUAGCCUGCCAAGAUGUCAGGGGCUUUCCAAUUCUUGUCACUUUAGAAUCUGCUUUUUUGUUUUCAAACUGAAACCUAAGCCAUUUCUGACUCAGGCUGGCUCUUUUCAAUAGCCAACACUUAGAUAUUUGUUUCCUGCCACAUGCUCUGGGGGCUCUCCCAGGGAGCAGAUGGCAGCCUAAUUACCUUCCAUGUUGGCCAAAGGGCAAUGGGAGCUAGAGCGGGUCAUUGGUAAUCAUUGGACGGCUGUGAUUCUAUCUCAGACCCUCUUUCUGAGACGUUCAGGCCCCUCGCCCAAGGUGCUGCUACCUUCCAUCUGUACCCCAUCAUCCAUCUGUACACCAGCUUCCAGGUAACAGAAUCAGUUCGCGCACAUUUGUUAUCUCAUCAGGGUGGAAGAGCAAAGAUUCUGAUAAUUUUCUUUUUUGGAAAAAAAAACUAAUUAAUUUCAUUAAAUUUUAUAUAUUCAAUCAACAAAAUUCUACCAUUUCUCCCUCCCAAGUCCUUUUCCCCAUUUAGAAAGAAAACAAAAGCCCUGUUAUAAACAAAAGAGUCGAAGGGAAAAAAAUCCCAAUCUACACUGUAAUUCUUCCCCUCUCUAUCCAAAGGUGGGUAACAUGUUUCAGCAUGUGUCCUCAUUCAAAUAUUUUUACAAAUGAAGAAGCCAGUGCUAUAACAAGAGUAGGGCGAUGGGGAUUUUCCCCCAGGGCACUAAAAUUGGUGAAAAUAGAAUUUUAAUACCUGCUCUGAUUCUGUCAUUGUGGUCUAGCUUUCAUUUUUAAGAAAAGCAUAAGAGGCUUUGACAAAGCCUUUGUAAAGAUGUAGGCGGAACAUGUGCAAAAAUGUUUGUAGCGGCUUUUUAUGGUAGCAAAGAAUUAGCAAAUGAAUAGAUGCCCAUCAAUUGGGGAACGGCUGAAUAAAUUAUGGUAUAUGAAAGCAAUGGAAUAUUGCCGUUCUAUAAAAAGUGAUGAACAAGCUGAUUUAGAAAGGCCUGGAAAGAUUUACAUGAAUGGACCCUGAGUGAAACAAGCAGAACCAGGAAUACAUUAUGUACAAUAACAAGAUUGCGUGAUGAUAGAUCAUAAAAGACUCAGUUCUCCUCAGUGGUUCAGUGAUACAAGGAAAUCCCAAUAAACUUUGGAAGGAAAUGCCAUGUGCACCCAGAGGGAGAAUUAUGGACACUGAAUGCAAAUCAACACAAGCUAUGUUUGCUUUUUUUUCUUUUUCUUCUGUUUUUUUUUUCCUCUCAUGAUUUUCCCCCUUUGUUCUGAUUUUUUUUUCCCUAACAUGAUUCAUAAGGAAAUUUGUUUUUAAAAAAUGAAUAUACAGGUAUAACCAGGGGAAAAAAAAGAAAUUUAAAAAAAGGUGUAGGUAGAGCCAAAGAGCCCCCACCUGUAAUAGAAAAGAGGGUCUCACAUAUAGAGAAAGCAUAGAAAGUAAGAUUGGUCUCUUCCAUGUUCCCUCUUGAAACUGUAAGCCAGAAACACCCAAAGCAAUUCACUGCUUGAAAAGUCCUUAAAAAGACUGUCACACCAGGAGUCCCCUGGUUCUUUCCCAGUUCUGCCCCAUCCUUCUGCAGGAAAGAAUCUUCAUCUUCACUAAUAAUAAUAAUAAUAAUUCACAGCAAUGAAUUUUGGAACAGGAAUCACACUUCUGCUGAGCUGAUCUACUUACUCCAACCAAGAGCUUCAGAACCUUGUUCUUGAAGAAGCCACGAUGAUGAUUCUAUGAUCAUCACUUUUUCUUCUAGGUAGCAGAAGGAAAGAUGCUAAUUUUACCAACACUAUGGACAUUCUGCCACGUUUUCUUGUCUGGGAAGAGCAUAUAUCUUCAGUCAACAAUCAUAAAAAAUUACUGUGUGAAGAAGUCCCUAGUGGACAGGGAGAGAUGCACAGUUUCGAUAAGACACAGAAUCGUAGCCUCCUGGAUACAAAGAUAAAUGGGAUCUUGGAGCCCAACAGCUUCAUUUACACCUUGCUGGUUUUCCUACCACCGUCUCCAUCCCACAUCACUCAGUAACCUCUGCUUUUUGAAGAAUCACUCAAUCCAUAUAUUCUACUCAAUUAAAAUUCUGGUAGCUGUUGUUUCUCUAGGAGACUGCCCUUCUUUCUAUAACAAGAUCAGUCCCUGGCUCGGUCUUUCUCUUUUCCUUGACUCUUGCCUUCAAUCUAGGGAGACAGAAUAGAUGGAAGGAAAGCAUUCACAGCCGCCUCGUUCCACCUCCUGGCCACUUACAACCUGUGCUAAGAGCUUAGAAUCCCUGGGUCCCUCUAGGACUAAGGUUGGAAUCAUACACUUCCUCCCUCCAGAAGCCUUUCCUGGUAUCACCCUAGUUGUGAGCAUGCACUAUUUCUUAAAUGAUCUGGUAUUUACAUAUAUUUACUCCUCCCAGGCAUCAGUACCCCUGGAUUAAGCCCAGUGACCGCUCAACGGGUGGGCCGGUCCAUCUGGGUAAACAGACACUGAGAGUGUUUUAGUGGGGAGGGCUGAGGGUUGUUUUUAUUGGAUCAGGGACAUCGAAGGCCAGACUAGGGUCAGAUUUCUCGACUGUUCUCCAGCCUGGCUCCAUGACUUGCAAAUAAUUAUUUCUUCAUGUGGCAAAGCAGAUCCUACAGUCCGCAGUGAGAACGUUAGCCUUUCCUUCCAUGAUUCCAGACAGCUUCAGGCUGAAUACUUCCCAAAGUAAAUCGGUGCUUUCCCUAACCUAAUGGGUGCAUUUCCCUUUUUUAACUGGUUCCAUUCAAGAUAUCUAACAUUUCAAAUCAACUUAUAUAUAUAUAUCCAUUUAUAUUUAAUAAUAGUGCAAUGAUAUAUUGCUAUAUCAAUAGUUAUAUUAAUGAGUUAACUAAUUAACAAUUUAAAAGUGAUGAUCAAAAUAAUAAAUAAUGCAUUUUGAUUAUCACUUUAAAUUAAUAGUAAUAAUAAUCAUAUCAUUGCUUUAAACACUAUUAACAUACUUAAUAAUUUGAGCUAAUAUUUAUAUAAUGCUCUAAGGUUUGCAAAAGGAUUGACUUGUUCACAAACACCUUGGGAGGUAGAUACAAUUAUUAUCCCCAUUUUAUAGAUGAUUUUACAGAGAUCAUGUGACUUGCCUAGGGUCACACAGUUGGUAGGUGUCCAAGGCAGAAUUUGAACUCAGUUCUUUCUUUGACUUCAGGUCCAUUUUAUCUGGUCUGUGAAAAGGGACACUGGCCCAGGCCUUGCCAAGGUGAACCCCAAGGCCUUGUAGUGGUACAUGGGGGAUUAAAGGACUCCCAUUCCUCUUGGGGACAGCUGUUUCUUAGGGAGUUUUUCCUGACGUGGACCUGAGAUUGGCUCUGCAACUUUCCAACCUUGACAACCCUGGGUCAAGACAACAGGAAGAAGAGUGGAAUGAGCUGCCCCAGGUCGCACAGCUCGUAGUUUUUUGAAGAAUUCAAACUCAAAUCUUCCUAACAUAAAGUCAAAGGUACCGUCCGCUACACCAGAGGCGUCAGGUGCAGCCAUUGCUGCCACACUCUAGUGUGCAGCUCCGAUCCAGAUUAAAACAGAAUUUGGAAAUAAUUGAUAAAUUAAAAUUUUGUCACUCAGUUGUUAUGGGCUCUUUGGGGCUCCAUUUGUGGUUUUCUUGGCAGUCUUCCUUCUCCAGCGUUUUACAGGUAAGGGAAGUGAGUCUCACAGCUGUUCCAGGCUGGAUUUGAACUCAGGAAGAGUCCAGGGGUGGGACUCAGGCCCUUCCGACUUGAAAGACUCGAUGCAAAGUUAAAUCUGUGGCGAGACAGUCGAGUGGAAACGCCCUGCUCUGUGUAACGUUUAUGGGCACCAGACGGAUGUCCCAGGAAAGGCUUCUUGCCUUUGGGUAAGUGAGACUUUGCUCCUCUCUCCGAGGAGGACCGCGACCCAUCUUUCCCAGAGCUGCCAGGUCGCUCUUUCUUUUAGCACGGUUCCGUUCCUCCAGCAGUCCGUCCACUCGUUGGUCACUGGAGGCGGCUCUCGCAUUCAGGACACAGUAAAGCUUUCUGGGCAGGGAUGGGGGGAGGAAUGCAGCGGGACACCCUCCCCAGAUGGUCUGACUCUCAACGUUCUGUGCCCCCUCCCCUGGUCCCGGCACCUGUAGGAAGUACACCGAACACAACCGAAGGGAGGCAGACGGCACAAAGCACGCAGGCUCCCAGGAGCCCCAGGAAUCAGCACACCAAUAAUGGUCUUUUAGUAGGUUCAGAACGCCGCCGGGGCCCAGGUUCCAAGUCUCCCAGGGAGCCUCGGGAGUGGGUCACCUGGGAUUUGGGGGCUUUAACCUUUGUCCUCCCCGCUCAGUGGGUCAUACUCAGCCUCAUUCAGAGCGGCUGCCACAGGGGUCAGAGUGGGGGAGACCCUUAGAACAUAGAACUCAGGGCCUGGGAGGGGCCCCGGGUGCAGCGGCCAGAAGUGGCCACAGAACGCCCCGGUGCGGCCCAAAUCACACUCCACAUAACUGGGAAAGCGCAACCACCAUCCCUGCUGCUCUUCAGUCGUGGCCCACCCUCCUGACCCUCUUUGGGGUUCUCUUAGCAAAGCUGCCGGUGGGCUCGCCUUCUCCAGCUUGUUCUGCAGAUGAGGAAACUAAGGCAACUGCUAGUGUUAGAGGCCAGACUUGCCCUCCAGGCAAUGUGCUGGGGAGACAGGGGAGACACCUGGCCGUCCCCAUAGCACAAUACAGGUGGUGUCAAUCUGUACUUCCCUAAGUUAGCAGGACACCCGCAGGGCUAAAGCACAGAACACCAAAGCUAGAACACUCACACAUGGGAGCUGAGGUCAGCGACUGUCACAAAAAGUAUUGUGACCCCAAGUAUAGAAAAGUGCCUCCUGCUUUCCAAAAGAAAAGGGAUCGGCCUCAGGGGUGCCCGUGCCCAUCUGCCCAGCAAGCCCAGGGCACCCUCCCCAUCCACCUUGCAGGACGCUCCCUCCACGUGUAGCCCUCGGGCUUACCUGGGGAGCUUUUGGGAGCGCUCAGGGUCAAAACUAUGUCCAUCUUGUAAGAAUAUGUUGUAACUGGGAAGAUGGUGGAUGAAUGACACACACGCCCUGGCCGGAGGGGGGGGUCUUUUUUAGCACACAAGGACCCAUCAGGGAGGGUCCCACAAAGCCCAGCAGAAAUGCUCCCAUGACAAUGGGGUCGUGUUUCUUGUUAUCUCAGUGGGGGACGGCCGGGGACGGAGGGAGAAAACACAACUUAAAGGAGAAAUGUUUUUCUCCUUUAAAAACUUUCAAAAAGUUUUCAAAAACUGCUCCACACUAAAGUCAUGUACGUGGGCCAGGGAAAGGGCAAAGCUCGGUGGCUGCCGUGGGCAUGAGGCUUCCCGAGGCUUAUCUCUAGUGGGCGAGAGGCCGUGCCCGCAGCAGGUGAGAUGGAGGCAGGGACCGAGAGGUCUGCGGAAGGAGCAGCCUGUGCGG